rnacentral:rRNA from 1 species
CACGUAGGGCGCGAGCGUUGUCCGGAAGUACUGGGCGUAAAGCGUGCGUAGGCGGUAGCGUAAGUCAGAUGUGAAAGCCCCGGGCUCAACCUGGGAAUUGCAUUUGAGACUGCUCUGCUCGGGUGCGGAAGAGGGAAGCGGAAUUUCCGGCGUAGCGGUGAAAUGCGUAGAUAUCGGGAGGAACACCAGUGGCGAACGCGGCUUCCUGGUCCGACACCGACGUUCAGGCACGAAAGCGUGGGGAGCAAACAGG